rnacentral:rRNA from 1 species
AUGCAACACAUCUUCUCCUUCGGGCUGGCAACUAGGAAGCAUGACAUGGGCUCGGGGGAGACUCUUGGUUCUCCCAUGCCAGACGUCCCUGGGACCCCGGACGUCGAGGUCCUUGAUGGCCCUGACAAGCCCUUCAAGAAGCCCUUCGACCCCGUCCAUGAUAGGAAGAGGAAGAGAGGAGGCCUGAUGGAGGAGGAGAUCAAUGUCUUUUGCAGCAUGACUGAGGUGGUGAAGGAGGUGGCAACAACCAUGAGGGAGCGCAAGCCCCUCGACGUCCACCCUGACCUGUAUGGCGCUGUCAUGACCCAUGGUGGCUUAGCGACGAGGCUCUCAUGGUAG